GACGAACGCUGGCGGCGUGCUUAACACAUGCAAGUCGAGCGGAAAGGCCCUUUCGGGGGUACUCGAGCGGCGAACGGGUGAGUAACACGUGAGUAAUCUGCCCUUGGCUUUGGGAUAACCACCGGAAACGGUGGCUAAUACCGGAUAUGACGGGCUCCGGCAUCGGGGUUCGUGGAAAGUUUUUUCGGCCAGGGAUGUGCUCGCGGCCUAUCAGCUUGUUGGUGGGGUAAUGGCCUACCAAGGCUUCGACGGGUAGCCGGCCUGAGAGGGUGACCGGCCACACUGGGACUGAGACACGGCCCAGACUCCUACGGGAGGCAGCAGUGGGGAAUAUUGGGACAAUGGGCGGAAGCCUGAUCCAGCAACGCCGCGUGAGGGAUGACGGCCUGGUUGUAACGUACUUCUACGUACC
rnacentral:rRNA from 1 species